UACGUAGGGUGCGAGCGUUGCCCGGAUUUAUUGGGCGUAAAGAGCGCGCAGGCGGUGUAUCAAGUCAGAUGUGAAAGAGGCCGGCUUAACCGGCAAGGGUCAUUUGAAACUGAUAGACUAGAGUGCAGCAGAGGAUAGCGGAAUUCCCGGUGUAGUGGUGAAAUGCGUAGAUAUCGGGAGGAACACCAGUGGCGAAGGCGGCUAUCUGGGCUGCAACUGACGCUGAGGCGCGAAGGCUAGGGUAGCAAACAGG
rnacentral:rRNA from 1 species